rnacentral:rRNA from 1 species
AUGUACACCAUCACCUUGGGCAUGCUUGUGCCGCUGCUGCUCGGCCUCAACAUGUCCUGGAGUGCCAUUAGCGCCGCCCUCACGCUCAUCUUCCUCGACUUCAAGGACGCUCGCCCCUGCCUCGAGAAGCUGUGGGUUAAUGUUGGUGGUUUUGUUCUACUUGGAUGCAUUGGUACCCAUCAUCGAGCGAACGGAUGCAACAACAGCAAGAAGCUCAUGGCUGUGUGCAUCUAA